CCUACGGGAGGCAGCAGUGGGGAAUAUUGGGCAAUGGGCGCAAGUCUGACCCAGCAACGCCGCGUGAAGGAAGAAGGCUUUCGGAUUGUAAACUUCUUUUCUGAGGGACGAAGAAAGUGACGGUACCUCAGGAAUAAGCCACGGCUAACUACGUGCCAGCAGCCGCGGUAAUACGUAGGUGGCAAGCGUUAUCCGGAUUGAGUGGGUGUAAAGGGCGUGUAGGCGGGAAAGCAAGUCAGAUGUGAAAACUCAGGGCUCAACCCUGAGACUACAUUUGAAACUGUUUUUCUUGAGUGCUGGAGAGGCAAGCGGAAUUCCGGGUGUAGCGGUGGAAUGCGUAGAUAGACGGAGGAACACCAGUGGCGAAGGCGGAUUGCUGGACAGUAACUGACGCUGAGGCGCGAAAGCGUGGGGAGCAAACAGGAUUAGAUACCCGUGUAGUC
rnacentral:rRNA from 1 species